rnacentral:pre_miRNA from 1 species
GGGAUGAGCGCGGGAUCUUGGGCUGUGUCCCCAGCACCCUGUGCUCCUGGGCCUGUGCUGUUGGAUUCCCACUCCUGGCCCCGCAGACCCU